rnacentral:lncRNA from 1 species
AUGCUUCCUCCCCACCCCACCCUGUGUUGUGCAGACGCCAAACUGAACUGGGUUUAUGGCUCCAGGUGCCACACACCUGCUCCCCUGUCACCUGCGGGUGGCCUCCUGCCCUCGGGGCAAAGGGCUGCUGAGGGGCCCCGGGCUCAGGCUGGGCCGGUCACCACCGGGAGGGGCUCCGGGGUUCCCCUUCAGUCACUCGGGCCACGGUCCCCUGACCCCUCGACACAGCUGGACGCGGCUGAGUCUCCGGCCCCACGGGAUCCGGGCCGCCCUCAGAGGCUGGACACCCAUGAGCCUCUGGGCCGACACCCCGACCCCGUGCUGUGCGCCCCGACCGGGCCCGGGACCCCGUGGGGCUGUUGUGUGCUGUCCGAGACGCGCCCCCCCCACCCCAGCCCCGCAAGCCUCUGGUUGGUGCUGAGCAGCAUCUCCCAGAAGCCUCAGGAAUUCCCGGAACCCGUGGGGGGGCCUGUGAGGAGGGCCAGAGGGGAGACCGAGGCCCCCGGGCCUCAGGGACGGGCGGGGGGGACGCAGACCCCAAGGCCUCAGAGCCAGCCUGGGGCGCACAGCGAGGGGAGGCCCCACCCGCUGGGCCCGGGGGUGGGGGCAGAGGACGGGGCCCCACCGCUGAGCAGCCCGUGCCAACCGGCGGCACACGGACCCCGAGCCAGAGACAGACCCCCCUGCGGGACCCCCGCAGCCUCACCCGCGGCUCCCGGGCCCAGCAGCCUCCUGACUCGGCUCCGCUCUGCAGACGGGCACCCAGGCCUCCCGGCGCCGCCCUGCCAGCGGUUGCCAGGGGACGGCCCGCCCCGGGAGCAGGUGCGCCCCCUCCUCCUCCUCCUGGGCCCCUCCCGGCCUCGGGAAACAAAGUCCAGGGGAGGAGAGAGAAAGACGACACCGGGCAGGGCGGGGCGGGCGCUGUGGAGCAGCCGGAACUCACCCCGAAACCUCCCUGCAGCGGCCCGGUCUGGCUCUCCUGCCACCUCUUGGCACCGCUCAGAGAGGGACACCGCCCACCCAGGGGCACACAGCAGGCCACAAGCCCGCCAUCUGUUUCUCAGUGGGAUGUCUGUGUCCCAACCCCCCACCGUGCCACCCGGCUCAGCCCACCCUCUGGGGCCGCCCCCCCCAGGGAGCCCCUUUCUGGGACAAGCCUGGCUCGCCCGCCUCUGGGGGUUCAGCCGGACCUGGGUUCGAAUCCCAUUUGACCUCUGA